rnacentral:rRNA from 1 species
CGUAGGUGGCAAGCGAUACUCGGAAUCACUAGGCGUAAAGCGCAGGUAGGAGGUUUGGAAAGUCUCUUGUGAAAGCUCCCGGCUUAACUGGGAGAGGUCAAGGGAAACUACCAGGCUGGAGUGCGGUAGAGGUAGCUGGAAUUCCCGGUGUAGCGGUGAAAUGCGUAGAUAUCGGGAGGAAUACCUAUGGCGAAAGCAGGCUACUGGACCGUCACUGACUCUGAUCUGCGAAAGCUAGGGGAGCAAACAGGAUUAGAUACCCUGGUAGUCCUAGCCCUAAACGAUGCUCAUUAGGUGUGGGAGGUAUCGACCCCUUCCGCGCCGUAGCUAACGCAUUAAAUGAGCCGCCUGGGGAGUACGGCCGCAAGGUUG